rnacentral:lncRNA from 1 species
AGGAAGGCUCAGGAUAGGCUCUAAUAUUUAUGAUCCCGAAGACAGAGGGGUGAUGAAUAUAGACUCGCACUUGAUCAUGACUUACAAGGAUCCCCAGAGUACCAUCCAAAAUCUUAUUUUGAUGAGGGCAGAGAUGAUGAUGAUGAUGCCACCUAGCGUUAUACUUCUUGCCCUAUUGUACUUUUAUAUUCCCUAAAAAGAGCCAUAUGGCCCACCCC